rnacentral:misc_RNA from 1 species
GAUGAAGAACGUAGCGAAAUGCGAUAAGUAGUGUGAAUUGCAGAAUUCAGUGAAUCAUCGAAUCUUUGAACGCACAUUGCGCCCCAUGGUAUUCCGUGGGGCAUGCCUGUUCGAGCGUCAUUUACCCCCUCAAGCUCCGCUUGGUGUUGGGCGUCUGUCCCGCUUCGCGCGCGGACUCGCCCCAAAGGUUUUGGCAGCGGUCGUGCCAGCUUCUCGCGCAGCACAUUGCGCUUCUCGAGGCACCGGUGGGCCCGCGUCCAUCAAGCUCACCCCCCCAGUUUGACCUCGGAUCAGGUAGGGAUACCCGCUGAACUUAAGCAUAUCAAUAAGCGGAGGA